GCCAGACUCCUACGGGAGGCAGCAGUGGGGGAUAUUGCACAACGGGGGGAACCCUGAUGCAGCGACGCCGCGUGGGUGAAGGAGUAUUUCGGUAUGUAAAGCCCUAUCGGCAGGGAAGAAAUUGGACGGUACCUGACUAAGAAGCCCCGGCUAACUACGUGCCAGCAGCCGCGGUAAUACGUAGGGGGCAAGCGUUAUCCGGAUUCACUGGGUGUAAAGGGAGCGUAGACGGCCAGGCAAGCCUGGAGUGAAAGCCCGGGGCCCAACCCCGGGACUGCUCUGGGAACUGUCCGGCUGGAGUGCGGGAGGGGCAGGCGGAAUUCCUGGUGUAGCGGUGAAAUGCGUAGAUAUCAGGAGGAACACCGGCGGCGAAGGCGGCCUGCUGGACCGCGACUGACGUUGAGGCUCGAAAGCGUGGGGAGCGAACAGGAUUAGAUACCCGGGUAU
rnacentral:rRNA from 1 species